UACGAAGGGGCUAGCGUUGCUCGGAAUCACUGGGCGUAAAGCGCACGUAGGCGGAUUGCUAAGUCAGGGUGAAAUCCUGGAGCUCAACUCCAGAACUGCCUUUGAUACUGGCGACCUUGAGUCCGGGAGAGGUGAGUGGAACUGCGAGUGUAGAGGUGAAAUUCGUAGAUAUUCGCAAGAACACCAGUGGCGAAGGCGGCUCACUGGCCCGGUACUGACGCUGAGGUGCGAAAGCGUGGGAGCAACAGG
rnacentral:rRNA from 1 species